rnacentral:rRNA from 1 species
AACGAACGCUGGCGGCAGGCUUAACACAUGCAAGUCGAGCGCCCCGCAAGGGGAGCGCCAGACGGGUGAGUAACGCGUGGGAAUCUACCCAUCUCUAUGGAAUAACGCAUGGAAACGUGUGCUAAUACCGUAUACGUCCUUCGGGAGAAAGAUUUAUCGGAGAUGGAUGAGCCCGCGUUGGAUUAGCUAGUUGGUGGGGUAAAGGCCUACCAAGGCGACGAUCCAUAGCUGGUCUGAGAGGAUGAUCAGCCACACUGGGACUGAGACACGGCCCAGACUCCUACGGGAGGCAGCAGUGGGGAAUAUUGGACAAUGGGCGCAAGCCUGAUCCAGCCAUGCCGCGUGAGUGAUGAAGGCCCUAGGGUUGUAAAGCUCUUUCACCGGUGAAGAUAAUGACGGUAACCGGAGAAGAAGCCCCGGCUAACUUCGUGCCAGCAGCCGCGGUAACAC